UACAGAGGAGCCAAGCGUUGUUCGGAUUUACUGGGCGUAAAGGGCGCGUAGGCGGCCACUGCAAGUCAGUUGUGAAAUCUCCGGGCUUAACCCGGAAAGGUCAACUGAUACUGCAGGGCUAGAGUGCAGAAGGGGCAACUGGAAUUCUCGGUGUAGCGGUGAAAUGCGUAGAUAUCGAGAGGAACACCUGCGGCGAAGGCGGGUUGCUGGGCUGACACUGACGCUGAGGCGCGAAAGCUAGGGGAGCGAACGGG
rnacentral:rRNA from 1 species